rnacentral:rRNA from 1 species
AGUGAACGCUGGCGGCAGGCUUAACACAUGCACGUCGAGCGGAGAUGAGGUGCUUGCACCUUAUCUUACGGGCGGACGGGUGAGUAAUGCUUAGGCAUCUGCCUAUGAGUGGGGUGCAAGAGCGCGAAAGGAAGGCUAAUACCUCAUACGUCCUACGGGACAAAGCAGGGGAUCCGCGCACCUUGCCAUAAGAGAUGAGCCGCAGUCGGAGUAGCUAGUAGGCGGGGUAAAGGCCUACAAGGGCGACGAUCUGGAGCAGGUCUGAGAGGAUGAUCCGCCACACUGGGACUGAGACACGGCCCAGGCUCCUACGGGAGGCAGCAGUGGGGAAUAUUGGACAAUGGGGGAAACCCUGAUCCAGCCAUGCCGCGUGAGUGAUGAAGGCCUUAUGGUUGUAAAGCACUUUAAGCGAGGAGGAGGCUACUGAGACUAAUACUCUUGGAUAGUGGACGUUACUCGCAGAAUAAGCACCGGCUAACUCUGUGCCAGCCGCCGCCGUAACAC